UCUAGCUCUGGCGCAACAAGUCAUCUCAUACCAGCAGAGUACCCCGUUCACGACCCCUAUGUGCGCACAACCGAGCGAAGUAACGGUGCGCACAGCAGAUUUUACGCAUCUGUUAAUGCCAUCAAACCUUUAUCACAACCGAACGAUCUGUAGCCGCGUCUACGUGGCAGUAGGUUGGUGUCUGAGUUUACUCCCUGAGCAGUUCCUGGCAGUUGUAUUCGGGGUGCCUUCAGAUUCGUCCAACAGACAACUCCAAAGACUGGGCAACUCUCGUGUCAAAGUCGUGGCGGUGUAAUAAUAAAAGACUCCAAAUCCAAAAUAAAGCCAGAUGAAGUCGCUUUGAUGCUCUCAGCUGCGUCUCCGUGCCUCUCUGCGCUGGCGCGGCGGCUCAGCCAAGCUUUCUGUUCCUCCGACGGAGCGACUGCCACACACACUCUGCAGGAGAGGACCUUUCCUUGAGCGUGACGUCACAAACACACAUGCUUGCACACAAACACUGCAAAAAAAUGUAUUUAGAUAAAAAGUUGAAUUGAAAGUUGGUUGACAUUUGUAGGUAAUUUGUAUUUCACUGCAAAUCGAUGAAACG